CCUUUCCUGCUCUGUCAUGGCCAGUGCUGCCUCUGAUGCAGGACAGGAAGAGGUUAGGGCUCCUUGCAAGCUAGAUCCUUGUAAAUUGGGAGAGUCUUCAUUUAUGAAGCGGAUCUCUUACAAGGACUUAAUGAAACUAUAAGUAGGAGGGAAAAAAAAUCACUGCUUGCGAAUGCACUAUUUUUGUUGGGAAAAAAACCCUAUAAAUAGCUUUUUCUGCUCUCUGUAAUCUUGACUGACAUUAAUUGGCACUUUCCAAUUUGAUCAGUCAACAACUCCUCCAUCCUUCCCACCAUGGAUAGCGGACACUUGCCAACUUCUACCUUUUAAUCUUGGCAAGAAGGAGUGUUGGCCAAAGGGCCAGCUUAUUAUUCAGCCUUUUAGGCCAAGUAUUUAUUCAAAGUAUUACGUGAUCAGAAUUAAACGCAAACCCUUGUUGUGUUUGUCUUCUCCACAUCUGCUUCCUCAAGGAUGGCUAAGUUUAAGUUGUUGGUGCUCCGAGUCACUAAUGAGGAGACUCACGGGGCUCCUUUUGUCCUUGCUCCUAAGGGGUCUGAGGGGUGCUGUAAAACCUUGUGGCCAUUGUCCCCAGCAUGAACCAGGGGACUGGAACCUUGGAAUAUCCUGGGGCUGCUGGCCACUCCCCACCCACCACAGAGGGUCUCUCUGGGACUCAGCCCAGGAAGAGGUGUCUGACGCAGUGGCUCCCUGAUCACACAAGGGUGACGAACUUCUGAAGGAUCCCGUGAGAGCCAGCCCCCCCACCCCCAGAAAAUCCACAAAACGCAGAGACAUGUUAAGUCCUGCAUGUGGUUUCAGGCCCUCCCAUGGCUUCAGACUGACCAUGAGCAGUAAGGAAGGUGCCGUUGGCUUGAUGGUGACUUUGUAGCCUUGGUAUCAAGGUCUAACCAGGGAGACUGUGGCCUCUACACAUGGUAUCAAGAGACACUGCAGAGGCCUGGCUGCUGUGAGCCUGGGGCCUGGCCCGGCAAGCUCUCGGGAAGGGCAGGAGUGGAGUCGCUAUCUGUGGUGGGAUUCCUCAUAUGGGCAGGCAUCCGCACGGCCUUUAAGGCCUUUCAACUGAUUGAACCAGGCUCACCUGGAUUACAGAGGGCAGAAACCAUGGGUGCUAGGCAGUUUUCUGUCACUGUGGCAAAGUACCUGAGAUCAUCAACUUUGGGAGGAGAGGCUGACCCUGGUCAGGGCUUCAGAUGUUUCGGGCCCUAGCUGCCUGGCACGGCCAGCUUGGGCCUGAAGUAGCACAGUACAUCAUGGUGGGAGAGUAAGGCAGAGGAGGGCGGCUCUCCUCAGGGUGCCUGGGGGCAAAGAGAGAGGCAGGAAGCAGGUGGGGUCAGUAUGUCCCCCCCAGGGCACGCCCCGUGACCUCCCACAGCCUCCACAGCCUCCAGCUGGAGGCUCCCACAGCCUCUGGCUCCUACAGGAUCCUCCCCGUCCCAGAGCACCACAGGCUGUGACCCGGCCCUAAACACGUGGGCCUUGGGGACUUCCAGAUCUGUGGAUUACCUUCAUAGCCACACUCAGGUUAGAGUUGGGGUCACGGCUGUAGCUGGGCCACCCUGACCCACAAGACCCGCCCCAGCCACGGUGGCAUCAUACUUAGUAGGACAACAUCUUUGUUCCUAGAAGAUGCAGGUUGGUGAGAUAUUUAAGGUGACAAGAUUGUUAGGGUCAUAGAAGAUCUCCUCCGUGGCUUCUCUCCUGUUCAGAUGACCCCACUGAUAAAUGACCAGUAACCAAGGCCCUUCUUGAGAGAGCUGCCGAGGAGUUCAGCGCCCAGAUCUGAGCUCCGUGUCUCGCACAGGGGGACAAAAGCACUUUAAACAGCUGCUAUGAAGAUGUAAAAGGUCAGUGUGAAGGAAAUGGAGAGCAGCCCCCAGGGAGAAAGGAGGACCGUGGAUGCGGGCGAAGGCAUCUCUGGACUUCCACUAUUUCCCAGCAACAACUAACUGCUCCCCCUGACGGCCCAACCCAAGAUGCAGUCUGCUGUGAUUAAGGUCUCACUUAGACCCUAUAAAAAAUCAGACCCCGGCCUGGGAUGUGGCUCAAGCGGUAGCGCGCUCGCCUGGCAUGCCUGCGGCCCGGGUUCGAUUCU